CAGCAGAGGGCGUGGGCCUUCUCCUGGUAGAGUCUCUUUGUGUGAAACCUCUCGGUGCUGCUACUUGCCAUGUCCUAAUAGCUUCUCCAUCACACCCCCAACUGCUGGCGCCGCAGCAACAUUUCAGCUUUGGCUGCUCAUUAGAAUCACUUGGGAGCCUUUUAAAACGACCAGUGCUUGAGGCCCCACCCAGGACCAGUGAAGUCUGAAUCUCCAGGGAUGCGGAGAGUAGGUAUUGCUCCCAGACAAAGCCGUCCCACAACCAUUCACUUAGCCUUCUGAAACACAGCCCACACAGCCGUACCCAGCAAGAGCAAAGAAAACCAGGAGCUGGGGCUGAAUGGGAUUGAGUUCAUACAGCUAGUUCGCCAGGAAACUUUUCCAAAUCAAAACAUGCGAAGGUCAACAGUCAAUACUGGAGGAAACCCACAGUAAUUCAGAAAGCCAAGAUGAAAACUAUAAUCAAAUUCUGCUACCUGAGUGGCACAUGGUCUAAUGCACUGAUGACAAAACAGAAACCCCUAAUCAAGAAGUCAGCAUGCCAUGCAGGACAAGAGUAGAUGAAGUGUGGUGUCAACGUGGCCACAGAGCCGAACCAAGUGAGAACAGUGAAUGCUGCCAACAUCCCUCUGUUCCAGAUCUUUCUUUCUGAUGAACAGACUUGGAGAAGGUGGCGCAACAAGGCUCAUGAAGAGGAAAUCGCAUUCCUGUAGAUUUCUGCCGCGCCUGCACUGGGAGGAAGAUGGGAGGGUUCUGAAUCCGCAGAGAUGCCAGGAUCAGAUCCCUUUGAGUAUUUCGGUUUUUGAAUUGAUGAUGUGCCUCCUUCCAGAAAGCCUCAGCCGUGAGAGGCCUGUGAAUACUCUCAUCUUGUAUUUGAGCAGCUGGAGAAUCAGCUGGCAAGUUAGUUAUGAAGAUACAGAAAUGUCUCAGCACAGAGAACUAUUUGGUAUGACCCAAGCUUUCCUUUUUUGUCAGCUGGGAGGGUGUGCCACAGGGUUAGAUAACCCCCAAAGCACACUGCGUGGGUCUGAGUCACACGCAGGUGACCCAGAUAUACAAACUCACCACAUUCUCUUCAGCAUCUUGCACGUCACUUACAAAGCAAAAGGCUUUAUUUCUGUUUGCUUCCCUUCCGUUUUAAGAGCAUUUUCAUCUUUUUCCUACUUCACUGAUCAAAUUCCAUGCAAGCUCAACUAUAAAAUUUCCAAAGGACUGGGCGCAAGCCGGCUAACUCUGCAUUCAUUCCUAGGUUUCGUGUGUAUACGUGGCAAUCCUUCUUGUUUUGGGUUUGUAUCUAGUGUUACUCAGACUCACACCUAUUCAGUUGUUAAGACGAAUUCUACUCUCCCUCAUAAUUUGGAAUUUGUAAUGCGAAUUUUAUUUCAAUACUAAAAGUUUCAUACUGAAGGCAGAGAUACGGUGCUAAUAAUAAUUAUGAAAGUUUAAAUGGCUUUUGGGAGCUUAAGUAAAAGGAGAUAAUUUAUUUUUGAAACAUAUUAGAGUAAGGAACAGAGUGUCAGCAUUCAUGAGUUCCUUAACUAGAGCUAUUAACUAUUUCAGCUUGUCUCAGCAAAAAUUAUGAGAUAUUUGUAUCUGUUUCUCAUCUGGAAAAUGAAGGCACAUACCUAAAACAAAACCAACUAAGUUCUUAUGAACUGACCUGGACAGCAUUAUGAAAUGAUUAAAAAACAGACAAAUAGGGGCACAUUUAUAUAUAAAAUUCUUCUGAGCCUCCUUGUUGUAUUUUACAAGCGGGGAACAUAUUUUUAGAAAUCUCAAUAUGGCACAAAUAUUAUCUUACCAAAUAAAAUAUUUAACUGGUUUAUAUAUAUAUAUUAGGAGAUGAAGAGAUUAUUUAAUAUGUAUAACGCAUUUCAAAAUAAUUUAAGCUUUAGGAUAAAAGAUACUAUACAGUAAGGUGGUGUAAUCCCUGUCUUCCCCGCCAGAGAUUAAAAUUCCAUUUCUUUGUGAAGGUGUGUAUACUUAACCUUGGUUUAAAUCAUAUCAUGGUUUGAAAUGAUAUCUUUAGUUAUUUGUUUUUAUUUUUAUAUUAGAAGGCAUUUCCUAAGAAAUAAGAAACAGCUCCCAAAUUAUGUAUAUUUUUAAGUUGUAAUUUGAUCUUAGUCAAUUGUCCCAUUACUAAUACACGCUAAAAUUUAUUGACUUAAAUUCAUCAAA